AUUGAAACUAAAUAACUCUACUCUUGUGUUAAUACUUAGCCAGCCUGGUAGAUACUAUUGGUUGUAGAAAAUUAAAACUUUUCAAGCAGGGAAACUACUUUUGCUGAAGUAAAAGAAACCUCUUAAAUAAUGAAUGACUUCAGUUUGAUAGCCAGACCUUCUUCCAGGUAACCAAGAAGAAAAAAGGAACAAGAAGUGGGGGAAACUUCAUCUGGCAAGCUGAACCCAGCUCUAAGUGCUAAAAUGUUUACUGGUUUCAAUCUGCCUGGCAGGGCAUUUGGAGCACAAGUGCUGAUUGGCUGCCUGCUGACUCACGCUUGCUUCCAAC